AGUGUGGCCCAUGGUGUUUGAGCAAGCAGGAGCCACAGCUGCAGACAAUUACUGCAUCCACUCAGACUAAACAAGGGGCGACCACAGCAGCCUGCCGAUCCCAGAGAAAUACUCUACAGCAAUCAUGUCCAGGAGAUCCCGAACCUGAUUACUGCUUGGACUUAUUUAGAAAAUGCCAUGAUUGUUAAUGGUGAACCCCCUGAAAUGCUGACAUUGAAUGCCUCUUGCACAAUGUGGUUCUUCUGUAAGACUUGGAAGGAACAAGGAAAAAGGUUGGGUAAAAAAUUCCUGAAGCAGUACUGCUGAGACAGCUGAAGUUACUCUGAGGACUGCCAUUAAGAUAAAAAAGCUCUGAAAAUGGAACCUUCCUAAAGCAGCCAGGGCAAGUCUCUAUAAAAAAAAAGGAAGAUAAAACAUGUUUUUGGGUUCUUUUUGAUUAUGUUACAUUAUGGGAAAUGGCUAUGUUCCAUCCUUAUCUGGACUGCUCUGUUAACACAUCUUCAGACACAUCUGUAUUUGGAAGAUGGAGGGAGAGCAUCUCCAUAAACCACGAGCUGGUGUUCAAGCAUUGUACAGAGCACCUUCUCCAUUGCACAGUUCUGCUGACCCCACCUAUUUCAGUGCAGGCCAUUUUCACAUCAUAAAAUGUCCAGAAUCAGAAAGGUUGAUGAAAUCAUAUUAGGAAUAUCUUCUUCCGGGUAAGCUGAGCACUCACUUUGGAUUACACUGACACACUGCAGUCAUCAACUUCUAACCAGGGUAGAGAUGGUAGUAGUUUGAAAGAAACAAAGACAGCUGCAGGAUAUCUAUUCUAUUCAGAUUUAAUGUGAUGGGUGUUGUUUUUUUUUAUGAAGCAAGGGCUGCAUCUACUCCCUGAAGCCGGAAUAGAUGUCAGGCAAUUUUGUAAAGAAGCCCACUGAUAAACUACUCCUAGAAAUACAGUACUACUUUACUUGAUCCCAUGCAGUAGCUUUUUAGCUACACAAACCUGCCCUACAGAUUAUGGGCUUCUACUGUAAUAGGUAUCAAGAAAAUACGUAAACUUUGUAAGCUACACUUUCUAUUUACUUGGCUUCUUUACCCGUAUUUCUUUUUUUUUUUUUUUUUUUUUCCCAGUUCCUGCUGAUCAAUGGUCUCCAUUUUUAGUCUCCAUUUGAUUCAGUAACACACACUACAGGUAAAAUCGUUCCUUUCCCUUAGGGCUCUAUACUCUGGCAGAAGGGAAAGAAAGGGAGGAAAGUGAAUAGUUUACUUCAAACUGCACGCCACAUUUCAAAUGUUCAUUUCCUGCUGCUCAAGAAUAAAUUGUGGCGAAAGACCAAUUUAGCAAUAGGCUUGAAAAGGUUAUCUCCAGCUGAACCCCCGCUCAUAUGCUGUCAAAGUCAAGCCAUGCUAGUUACCUCCCUUAAGCAUUUUGAGUUCAGAUUACGUUUUCUUCUGUUCCAGCUGAUAGACCAUCUCGAAGUCCCAUGCUAUAUUCCUAGUGAUAAUCCUUCCCUCUUUGGCUAAGUCCAUAGCAGUGGAAACAGAGCCAAUCCCUUAUCUCACAUAGUCCCUAUCUAAUUCACUCUCAGCACAGACAACCAUUUAUUUCCUCUCAAAACCACGAGUCAAAAAGCUGCAAAUGAUCUUAAAUAUAGUAGAUGUUUGCUGGGAACUGCAAAUAAUUUGAGCAGUUUUAAAGGCUAUGUAAAAAUGUGAUAGUAUGGUCUCACGUAGGCUGUGUUGCAUCUUAUUCACCCAGGUAAGUUGCCAAUUUUCAAACAGGCAGUUGUGCUUUUUUUCUCAACAUUUAUUCCAGGAAUGAUUCUGUUCCCUCUGUAAAACUUUAAUUCACACAACUGGUCUUGAAAAUAGCAACCCCUUGGAUGCAAUAGCCUUCUAACUAAUGGAUUAUUGGUGACUUUGUCAAGAUACGCUCUCUGAUUGUUUUAAUCAACAUGAGGCUUAAAAUGUCCUCAUGUUAAAAUGUUCAGAUAAAGCCAUCUGAAAGCAGCAUACAGUGCUUUUGCUCCCCUCUCUGCUGUCUUUUCACAGCCUUAAUAUUGCCAGCAUGAAACACUGCUAUUCAGGUUCACAUAAACUAUUUUUGUUAUUGUGAAAGAUGCCUACUAUCAGUAUUUUUCCUAAUGUUUGCUCUCUAGGUAUGACAGCCUCAAGGGGAAUUUACUCCCUCCAAUAUGCAAUUGCUUUAUUUAAUUUUGGGUCCAGAGAGGCUUUCAUUCUACACUCUUGCCGUUCACUCACUUUUGCAAAAAUAUAGGAUUACAAUGAAGAUACUGCACUGUAGGCAAUGAGAAUUGAAGUGUGAAGGAGGAAUAAUUAUAGUGCUGUGGAGAAAUGCUUACUUGAUGAAUAGCAUCCCAAUUUCUGAGUUGACCUUGUAGUGAUGUGGACCGUAGUCAAACUUCAGAGCAGACUGAUUACCCACCAUGAAGCCUGCUAGUACUUGCAGUGGUCUCCACCAUUUCUAUGAAGUUACAUGCUUUAAGAAUGCUUUUCUGCAUCCCUUGAAACACUUAACAAGGUUGGCUAGUGAACACAACAGUUACUCUACCAUAAUGCCAAUAAGGCUGUUAUUAGAUAGUGUUUUUAAAAAGAGAUACCUCUUCUUACCAUUACUGGCACCAGAAUGUACUUGUGGCGUGUUGAUACAAGCUUUCCUUCGCAUUCAAUUUUAGAGCUCACUGGAGCUGGUCAUCUUCAGACACUGGUCCAAGAAUCUGUGCAGAUAUCUCUUUCCAAGUUAUAACCUGAUUGCAUUUGUUCUGCACACUGAAAGUUUAGAUGCACACCCUAGUCAUAGCAUCUUGUAACAACAGCAAGUUGCUCAAAGCUAUCAUUGAUUUUGUUGCUGUUGUAAAUAACACAGCAGAAUGACAUUGCAGGCCAUGCUAGUAUAAUGUGGUUUGCUAAUCCAAUGGUGUAUUUUUCUAACUCAGUGAUUUAUGUGAAAGCUGUAUCAAUCAAGGAUUGUAAAUGCAUAAAUCUAAUUGUUUUUUC
ensembl:lncRNA